rnacentral:rRNA from 1 species
AGUGAACGCUGGCGGUAGGCCUAACACAUGCCAGUCGAACGGCAGCACGGUAAGAGCUUGCUCUUACGGGUGGCGAGUGGCGGACGGGUGAGGAAUACAUCGGAAUCUACUUUUUCGUGGGGGAUAACGUAGGGAAACUUACGCUAAUACCGCAUACGACCUACGGGUGAAAGCAGGGGAUCUUCGGACCUUGCGCGAUUGAAUGAGCCGAUGUCGGAUUAGCUAGUUGGCGGGGUAAAGGCCCACCAAGGCGACGAUCCGUAGCCGGUCUGAGAGGAUGAUCAGCCACACUGGAACUGAGACACGGUCCAGACUCCUACGGGAGGCAGCAGUGGGGAAUAUUGGACAAUGGGCGCAAGCCUGAUCCAGCCAUACCGCGUGGGUGAAGAAGGCCUUCGGGUUGUAAAGCCCUUUUGUUGGGAAAGAAAAGCAGCAGGUUAAUACCCCGCUGUUCUGACGGUACCCAAAGAAUAAGCACCGGCUAACUUCGUG